UACGUAGGUGGCAAGCGUUGUCCGGAUUUACUGGGCGUAAAGGGCUUGUAGGCGGUUUGUUAAGUCUGGUGUGAAAUCUCCCGGCUCAACCGGGAGGGGUCAUCGGAUACUGGCAGACUAGAGACGGGUAGAGGAAAGCAGAAUUCCCGGUGUAGCGGUGAAAUGCGUAGAUAUCGGGAGGAAUACCAGUGGCGAAGGCGGCUUUCUGGGCCUGUUCUGACGCUGAGGAGCGAAAGCGUGGGGAGCGAACAGG
rnacentral:rRNA from 1 species